GACGAACGCUGGCGGCGUGCUUAACACAUGCAAGUCGAACGGAAAGGCCCUGCUUUUGUGGGGUGCUCGAGUGGCGAACGGGUGAGUAACACGUGAGUAACCUGCCCUUGACUUUGGGAUAACUUCGGGAAACGGGGGCAAAUACCGGAUAGGAGCUCCUGCUGCAGGGUGGGGGUGGGAAAGUUUCGGCGGUUGGGGAUGGACUCGCGGCUUAUCAGCUUGUUGGUGGGGUAGUGGCUUACCAAGGCUUUGACGGGUAGCCGGCCUGAGAGGGUGACCGGCCACAUUGGGACUGAGAUACGGCCCAGACUCCUACGGGAGGCAGCAGUGGGGAAUAUUGCACAAUGGGCGGAAGCCUGAUGCAGCAACGCCGCGUGCGGGAUGACGGCCUUCGGGUUGUAAACCGCUUUCGCCUGUGACGAAGCGUGAGUGACGGUAAUGGGUAAAGAAGCACCGGCUAACUACGUG
rnacentral:rRNA from 1 species